rnacentral:rRNA from 1 species
UACGGAGGGAGCUAGCGUUGUUCGGAAUUACUGGGCGUAAAGCGCGCGUAGGCGGCUUUGUAAGUUAGAGGUGAAAGCCCGGGGCUCAACCCCGGAAUUGCCUUUAAGACUGCAUCGCUUGAAUCCGGGAGAGGUGAGUGGAAUUCCGAGUGUAGAGGUGAAAUUCGUAGAUAUUCGCAAGAACACCAGUGGCGAAGGCGGCUCACUGGCCCGAUACUGACGCUGAGGCACGAAAGCGUGGGGAGCAAACAGG